rnacentral:lncRNA from 1 species
CAGCACCUGUUCGCAGAGCGGAGCGUUUAAAAAACGUGAGUUUAAUAAAGAUAUUCACGGGCUGACGGCCCGGAUUUCGUACUGCACUCUCUGCGGGGAGUGUAUUUCUUAGUGCAGUUUUUCCAGAUAUAAUCGAUUAUGGCACUUUCUUUACUUUGUUUGAAAAGAGGAGCAGAUCAUGUCGAUCAAGUUCUUCAAAAUAUCCACAUGGGCGCAAAUUGUGACGUCACCGCACGAGCAGACAAAGAGGAGAUUGACAAGAAGGACUACUAUGGGAAGACACCUCUCUACUGGGCAGCCUACAAGGAUCAGAAGGCCUCCAUGCAGCUGCUCUUGAACAUGGUACAGUUGUGAACACACAGUGCAAACAUGGGAGCACACCUGUGCAUGCUACGGUGGGUCUCUUCCCCAAGCGCACUCUGCUUCUCAUACAGGUGAGACAGGUGUGAUCAGGAUGGCACACGAGGACAAAGUGUUUCAUUAGGAAAAACUUUGUGACGUCCACACAGAUUAUCAUAACGUUAUUUUCUGAGCUGUACCUCAUUGUGUUGGUCACCUUGGAGUCGUCGGCUAAACAAAGGUUAAUAGUAAUCGUCAUGUAGGAUAUAAUCCAUGUUUUUCCCACGUCUACCUGCAGCAUGGAGCAGGUGUGGACCUCCCGGACAGCUGGGGAGUCACACCUAUGUACCUGGCAGCGUGCAGUGGGCAGGUUGAGUGCAUACAGUUGCUAGUUCAAGCUGAAGCCAAGAUCUUCUACAAGAAGAAGAAGACUGGCGAGGCCCCAAAGCAGCUGUCUUUCAGGCCCACGCUUUUGACCUGGCUGGAGAACCUGGUGCGACAGCCACAUUCUCUCAAGCACCAGUGUCGGCAGGCAGUUCGCCGUGCCCUUGGCCCUGCUCGAAUUCAAACCCUUGGCUCCUUUGCCCUCCCACUGACCCUUAGGGAAUACCUUAUGUUCCAGGACUUGCAGAUCCCUAACAUAGUGGGGCAAGGUGAGGCAGGAGAGCACAGGGUAGCACACAGGGGGAGUUAAAUAAAAACUAUUUUCAACGGAACAGUUCUUUCCACAAUCACUUACCCUAUCAUCAGAAGCUACACCACCAAACAACCAUAGAGGACUAAAUGUGUCAGUACAACUUCAUUGUUCACCUAGGCUGUGAACUCUUCAUAAGGCUCUAAUGUGGAUGACGAUACAUCCCUUUUUGAAAUAUGACUUGGCGCUGAAUCUUUGAACCUGGAUGUUCUUUGAAUCUACAGCUUUCACGUUUGCAAGUGUGAGACUCUCAUCAUCUUGUGGUUUUGUCAGCACUGGGCAUUCAGGUGACUCUUGUUCUUUAUUAGAACCAAGUGUUGAGGGUUUCUCACGUGAGCCAGACUUCAAUGUCCACGAUAACUCACAAUGUCAUUUCUCCCCGAGUAGCUGAUGCCAGUGCAUCUUCAUGUUUGGAUUUAAAAUUGGCAAAGGUGUCAUGAGCAACCAAGCGUAGGCUUCAACUUGGGUUUCUAAUGAGUUGCAGGGGGAACGCUUUGUCCCCUGAGUAGCGAGUGUUUAUCUCAACGCUGAUGUCAUUCCAAUUCCAUCUCACUACCCUGACUUGUUAUCCUUCCUCUAUAGGUGACUAGUAUGUCUGGUAAAAGUUAAGAUAUACGCUGUCAGUCUUGAGAGAUUGUUUUCUUUAAUAUGCUUUCUUUGUUUUGUUUUUACUUGCACACAUUAAGAAUAAAACAAGUGUGUCAUUGAAACCA